rnacentral:rRNA from 1 species
UACAGAGGGUCCGAGCGUUGUCCGGAGUACUGGGCGUAAAGCGCGCGCAGGCGGCGGUGCUGGCCCGGCGUGAAAGCCCCCCGGCUCAACCGGGGGAGGGUCGUCGGGGACCGCACCGCUUGAGGGCGGUAGGGGCUGGUGGAAUGCCUGGUGUAGUGGUGAAAUGCGUAGAGAUCAGGCGGAACACCCGUGGCGAAGGCGGCCAGCUGGGCCGUCCCUGACGCUGAGGCGCGAAGGCGUGGGGAGCGAACGGGG